CCUGAGAAACCCAAAAGAUCGAAUGGGGAGAUUCAUCGUCAGCUCAUUUUGUAUAUGUAGNUAGUUAUGAUGCGAGUUACUNCUUGUAGUAUUGCUUGCACGUACUUUUACAUUUAUCUGCAAGAUGUUGUCGGCGUGCACUUCUCCCCUAGUAGAACGUCGCGACCCGUUGAGUGUCUGUCUACGACUCGAGUGGUAGACUUUGAUAUUUUUAUAAUAUUAAAGACCCUUGGUGUUUUCUGACAGACUGCUCGGCGGUAUUCGUACGGUAUUUAGCCGCAUUCNUCAUGCGUUCAUGUCCAUCGCAAGCGAGGCCAAUUUCUGAUAGUUACGGACCUAGUGCCGUCGUUGGAAUUGGCCAGCUGUUGGNUUGUAUGGUAUUNCUAGAACUGGCUAAAAANUUAAUUAUCGGUCGGCGAUGCUACUGCUUUGGGUACUUUCAGGACCCGUCUUGAAACACGGACCAAGGAGUCUAACAUGUGCGCGAGUCAUUGGGAUUUUUUUUNAAAUUAAACCUAAAGGCGUAAUGAAAGUAAAGGUCGACCUUGCGUCGACCGAGGGAGGAUAAGUUGUGUUAANGAUACAGCUUCGCACUCCCGGGGCGUCUCAUUCUCAUUGCGAGAAGAGGCGCACCUAG
rnacentral:rRNA from 1 species